AUCGAACGCUGGCGGCAGGCCUAACACAUGCAAGUCGAACGAGUGGCGGACGGGUGAGUAAUGUCUGGGAAACUGCCCGUUGGAGGGGGAUAACUACUGGAAACGGUAGCCAAUACCGCAUACCAUCGGAUGUGCCCAGAUGGGAUUAGCUAGUAGGGGGGGUAACGGCUCACCUAGGGGACGAUCCCUAGCCGGUCUGAGAGGAUGACCAGCCACACGGGAACUGAGACACGGUCCAGACUCCUACGGGAGGCAGCAGUGGGGAAUAUUGCAAAAUGGGCGCAAGCCUGAUGCAGCAAUGCCGCGUGUAUGAAGAGGGCCUUCGGGUUGUAAAGUACUUUCAGCGGGGAGGCGUUACCCGCAGAAGAAGCACCGGCUAACUCCGUGCCAGCAGCCGCGGUAAUUC
rnacentral:rRNA from 1 species